rnacentral:rRNA from 1 species
GACGAACGCUGGCGGCGCGCCUAACACAUGCAAGUCGAACGAGCGAGAGAGAGCUUGCUUUCUCGAGCGAGUGGCGAACGGGUGAGUAACGCGUGAGGAACCUGCCUCAAAGAGGGGGACAACAGUUGGAAACGACUGCUAAUACCGCAUAAGCCCACGACCCGGCAUCGGGUAGAGGGAAAAGGAGCAAUCCGCUUUGAGAUGGCCUCGCGUCCGAUUAGCUAGUUGGUGAGGUAACGGCCCACCAAGGCGACGAUCGGUAGCCGGACUGAGAGGUUGAACGGCCACAUUGGGACUGAGACACGGCCCAGACUCCUACGGGAGGCAGCAGUGGGGAAUAGUGCACAAUGGGGGAAACCCUGAUGCAGCGACGCCGCGUGGAGGAAGAAGGUCUUCGGAUUGUAAACUCCUGUUGUUGAGGAAGAUAAUGACGGUACUCAACAAGGAAGUGACGGCUAACUACGUG